rnacentral:rRNA from 1 species
UACGUAGGGUCCGAGCGUUGUCCGGAAUUACUGGGCGUAAAGCGUGCGCAGGCGGCCCGCGAGGUGUCACGUGAAAGCCCCGGGCUCAACCCGGGGGGUCGUGGCAAACCGGCGGGCUUGAGGCCGGUAGAGGUGGGUGGAACUCCUGGUGGAGUGGUGAAAUGCGUAGAGAUCAGGAAGAACACCCGUGGCGAAGGCGGCCCACUGGGCCGGUACUGACGCUGAGGCACGAAGGCGUGGGGAGCGAACGGG